GCUUGCUUCAGCCACACAUAUGUGAGAAUUGGAAUGAUACACAAAAGAUUAUCAUGGCCCCUGCACAAAGUUUGACACACAAAUCCAUGAAGCAUUCUAUACUUUC
rnacentral:snRNA from 2 species